rnacentral:rRNA from 1 species
CACGGAUCCAGACUUUGAUCCUGGCUCAGGACGAACGCUGGCGGCGUGCCUAAUACAUGCAAGUUGAGCGCUGAAGGUUGGUACUUGUACCAACUGGAUGAGCAGCGAACGGGUGAGUAACGCGUGGGGAAUCUGCCUUUGAGCGGGGGACAACAUUUGGAAACGAAUGCUAAUACCGCAUAAAAACUUUAAACACAAGUUUUAAGUUUGAAAGAUGCAAUUGCAUCACUCAAAGAUGAUCCCGCGUUGUAUUAGCUAGUUGGUGAGGUAAAGGCUCACCAAGGCGAUGAUACAUAGCCGACCUGAGAGGGUGAUCGGCCACAUUGGGACUGAGACACGGCCCAAACUCCUACGGGAGGCAGCAGUAGGGAAUCUUCGGCAAUGGACGAAAGUCUGACCGAGCAACGCCGCGUGAGUGAAGAAGGUUUUCGGAUCGUAAAACUCUGUUGGUAGAGAAGAACGUUGGUGAGAGUGGAAAGCUCAUCAAGUGACGGUAACUACCCAGAAAGGGACGGCUAACUACGUGCCAGCAGCCGCGGUAAUACGUAGGUCCCGAGCGUUGUCCGGAUUUAUUGGGCGUAAAGCGAGCGCAGGUGGUUUAUUAAGUCUGGUGUAAAAGGCAGUGGCUCAACCAUUGUAUGCAUUGGAAACUGGUAGACUUGAGUGCAGGAGAGGAGAGUGGAAUUCCAUGUGUAGCGGUGAAAUGCGUAGAUAUAUGGAGGAACACCGGUGGCGAAAGCGGCUCUCUGGCCUGUAACUGACACUGAGGCUCGAAAGCGUGGGGAGCAAACAGGAUUAGAUACCCUGGUAGUCCACGCCGUAAACGAUGAGUGCUAGAUGUAGGGAGCUAUAAGUUCUCUGUAUCGCAGCUAACGCAAUAAGCACUCCGCCUGGGGAGUACGACCGCAAGGUUGAAACUCAAAGGAAUUGACGGGGGCCCGCACAAGCGGUGGAGCAUGUGGUUUAAUUCGAAGCAACGCGAAGAACCUUACCAGGUCUUGACAUACUCGUGCUAUUCCUAGAGAUAGGAGGUUCCUUCGGGACACGGGAUACAGGUGGUGCAUGGUUGUCGUCAGCUCGUGUCGUGAGAUGUUGGGUUAAGUCCCGCAGCGAGCGCAACCCCUAUUGUUAGUUGCCAUCAUUAAGUUGGGCACUCUAACGAGACUGCCGGUGAUAAACCGGAGGAAGGUGGGGAUGACGUCAAAUCAUCAUGCCCCUUAUGACCUGGGCUACACACGUGCUACAAUGGAUGGUACAACGAGUCGCGAGACAGUGAUGUUUAGCUAAUCUCUUAAAACCAUUCUCAGUUCGGAUUGUAGGCUGCAACUCGCCUACAUGAAGUCGGAAUCGCUAGUAAUCGCGGAUCAGCACGCCGCGGUGAAUACGUUCCCGGGCCUUGUACACACCGCCCGUCACACCACGGGAGUUGGGAGUACCCGAAGUAGGUUGCCUAACCGCAAGGAGGGCGCUUCCUAAGGUAAGACCGAUGACUGGGGUGAAGUCGUAACAAGCUAACCGUAAGCUUCAC